GAUGAAGAACGCAGCGAAAUGCGAUAAGUAGUGUGAAUUGCAGAAUUCAGUGAAUCAUCGAAUCUUUGAACGCACAUUGCGCCCCUUGGUACUCCAUGGGGCAUGCCUGUUCGAGCGUCAUUUACACCCUCAAGCUCAGCUUGGUGUUGGGCGUCUGUCCCGCUUCGUGCGCGGACUCGCCUCAAAUGCAUUGGCAGCGGUCUUGCCAGCUUCUCGCGCAGCACAUUGCGCUUCUAGAGGCUUUGGCGGAUCGGCGUCCAUCAAGUACACCCACAGUUUGACCUCGGAUCAGGUAGGGAUACCCGCUGAACUUAAGCAUAUCAAUAAGCGGGGA
rnacentral:misc_RNA from 1 species